rnacentral:rRNA from 1 species
AUUUAAGCUAUAAAGAGCGUAUGGAGGAUGCCAAGGCAUCAGGCGCCGAAGAAGGACGCGGUAAGCUGCGAAAAUCUGCGGGGAGUCGCAAACAGACAUCGAUCCGCAGGUAUCCGAAUGCGGGAACGCACCCGAAGUAAAGGUCGGGUAUGCUUACAUGAACACAUAGUGUAAGCAGGGGAACCCGGGGAACUGAACCAUCUAAGUACCCGGAGGAAGAGAAAGUAAAACAACGAUUACCUAAGUAGUGGCGAGCGAAAGGGUAAGAGCCCAAAAGCGAAGCAGAAAUGUUUUGUGGCAGAGACGUGCAAGAGCCGACAUAGACGAACCGGCGAGGAAACCCGGGCGAGACAAGGUAAAAGCCCUGUAGUCGAAAUAGAGGCGAAGCUAUCUGCAAGAGAGUACCAUGGAGCACGAGAAAUUCCGUGGGAAGGCGGGAGGCCCAUCUCCCAAGGCUAAAUACGACCUGAUGACCGAUAGAGAAGAGUACC